UCAAAGUUUGAUUGGUUCUUGGUUUCUUAUAUUUUUACUGAAUUUGUAUGAAAGUUAUAGCAAGUAAUGUCAGAUGAUUUAAGAUUCAUCUAUAAGGGUAAAUAAAAGUAAAGUUUGUACUAUAAAUUAUAAUUCUCAGCAUAUAAUAUUAAACUAUUUAAUAAAUUAAGAUUUAGCAGUAAAUUAAAGCUUGAUGAAUAUUGUGCCAGCAGUCGCGGUUAUACCUUAGAGCUAAGUAAUAAUGAUUUGGGUGAUUGUUAUGUGGAUUGUAAGAUUGUGAAUUAUCUGGGAAAACAAAAAAGUGAAAUUAGAUUUUUUCAUAAGAUGAAUUACUGUAAUUUUAACUGAAGCAAUAAAAAGUUGGAUUUAAACUAGGAAUAGAUACCCUAUUAUACCAAGAAAUAAUUUUAUACCCCUAAGUAUUAGUAGAUAAAAACUUUAAAUUUGAAUAAUUUGGCGGUGAUUUAGUCUUGUCAGAGGAACCUGUUUUUUAAUCGAUACACCACGAAGAAUCUUACUUAAGUUUGAAAAGAGAAGUAUGUAUACCGUCAUUAUUAGAUAAUUUUUAUAGAAAUAAAUUAUUGCUUAUAUUGAUAAUUUCAAAUAUAUUAGAUCAAGGUGCAGCCUAUACUUAAGUUAAAAUGGGUUACAAUAAAUUUUAUUUAUAACGGAUGGUAUACUUAAAAGUAUAUUGGAAGGAGGAUUUGAUUGUAAAGCAAGUUUAACAAGCUUUCUAGAUAAAAGCUCUAAAUCAUGUACAUAUCGCCCGUCGCUUUCAUUGUUUAUAUGAGAUAAGUCGUAACAUAGUAGGUUUACCGGAAGGUGAACCUGGAUAGGGAA
rnacentral:ncRNA from 1 species